rnacentral:rRNA from 1 species
AACGAACGCUGGCGGCAUGCCUAACACAUGCAAGUCGAACGAGACCUUCGGGUCUAGUGGCGCACGGGUGCGUAACGCGUGGGAACCUGCCCUUAGGUUCGGAAUAACUCCCCGAAAGGGGUGCUAAUACCGGAUAAUGUCCUCGGACCAAAGAUUUAUCGCCUUUGGAUGGGCCCGCGUUGGAUUAGCUUGUUGGUAGGGUAAAAGCCUAUCAAGGCGACGAUCCAUAGCUGGUCUGAGAGGAUGAUCAGCCACACUGGGACUGAGACACGGCCCAGACUCCUACGGGAGGCAGCAGUGGGGAAUAUUGGACAAUGGGCGAAGGCCUGAUCCAGCAAUGCCGCGUGAGUGAUGAAGGCCUUAGGGUUGUAAAGCUCUUUUACCCGGGAUGAUAAUGACGGUACCGGGAGAAUAAGCUCCGGCUAACUCCGUG